GAUAAAGUGACUGAUUAUAGGUGAUAAAUUGUAAAUUUAUUUAUGAAAUUUAUAUUUCCUUUAUUA
rnacentral:tRNA from 1 species